rnacentral:rRNA from 1 species
GACGAACGCUGGCGGCGUGCUUAACACAUGCAAGUCGAACGGAAAGGCCCCUUUGGGGGUACUCGAGUGGCGCACGGGUGAGUAACACGUGAGUAACCUGCCCUUGACUUCGGGAUAACUUCAGGAAACUGGGGCUAAUACCGGAUAGGAAUCCUUGCUGCAUGGUGGGGGUUGGAAAGCUUCGGCGGUUUUGGAUGGACUCGCGGCUUAUCAGCUUGUUGGUGGGGUAGUGGCUUACCAAGGCUUUGACGGGUAGCCGGCCUGAGAGGGCGACCGGCCACAUUGGGACUGAGAUACGGCCCAGACUCCUACGGGAGGCAGCAGUGGGGAAUAUUGCACAAUGGGCGGAAGCCUGAUGCAGCAACGCCGCGUGCGGGAUGACGGCCUUCGGGUUGUAAACCGCUUUCAGCAGGGGCGAAGCUUGUGGUGACGGUACCUGCAGAAGAAGCACCGGCUAACUACGU